UACGUAGGGGGCAAGCGUUGUUCGGAAUUACUGGGCGUAAAGGGCGCGUAGGCGGCAGGUCAAGUCGGGAGUGAAAGCCCGGGGCUCAACCCCGGAAUGUCUUUCGAAACUGGCCAGCUUGAGUGCGGAAGAGGCAACUGGAAUUCCCAGUGUAGCGGUGAAAUGCGUAGAUAUUGGGAAGAACACCUGAGGCGAAGGCGGGUUGCUGGGCCGACACUGACGCUGAGGCGCGAAAGCCAGGGGAGCAAACGGG
rnacentral:rRNA from 1 species